AACAUAUAUCUAUGUAAUAAUUGCAGAAGGUCUGCGCCGUCUCUUUAAUGUGCGGUGGAAGUCUGCGCACACGGCUCUCAAUGCAGGGGAGAUGGGACACACCUAGAAGAGGAGGACCAGCCGCUGGGAACACGUGGUUUCAUCUUUAGUCAAUUUGGUGAUUAGAAAACCGGCCCCCCCAAAAUAAUCGACAAACCGGCGGUUUCACAAAACUGCACUUUAGUAAAUUUCCAUCAUGUUGUAUUCAGCGCCAGUAAUUAAUCUCUACUGUGUGAAAUGUCCAAUGACCUCUAGCUGUGUAACAGGACCGGUCAUAGGAACGUCCCUAAAUUCUAAAGUGCUUCGCUGUAAUGCGGUGGGUGGAAGCCCUUGGACUGAAAUAGAUUCCACGAUGAGUCAGUACGGAGAGUGACUCCCUGCAGAAUUACACGCUUCAUUUUAAGGAAGUUUACACUAGAAUUGCAUAUACAUUAAAACAUGUAUUACACCUUA